rnacentral:rRNA from 1 species
CAUAGAGGGUGAGAAUCCCGUAUUUGACCAUUAUUUUCAGCUGUGUGAUACACUUUCAAAGAGUCGGAUUGUUUGGGAAUGCAGUCCAAAAUGGGUGGUAAAUUUCAUCUAAAGCUAAAUAUUGGCGAGAGACCGAUAGCGAACAAGUACCGUGAGGGAAAGAUGAAAAGAACUUUGAAAAGAGAGUUAAACAGUACGUGAAAUUGUCAAAAGGGAAGCGUUUGACACCAGUGUUGUUUUCUCGAAAAUCAAUUAAAAAAAGUUGGAUUUUGUGUUUGUAUGACCUUAACAGCUUCUUUCACUUUUUUCCUGCUUUUUUUAAUGCACUUUUCGUUUAACAAGUCAACAUCAGUUUCUUUUGUUGUAAAAAGGUCAUUGGAAGGUGGCUUUCUUUUCGGAGAAAGUGUUUAUAGCCUUUGACUCCUGCAAUCGGAGAGACUGAGGUCUGCAGCGUAGAUCCUUCGGGGUUAGAUACAUUUGUGCUAAGUUAUAGCUUUUCAUAGACAACUUGUUGACUAUGUUUAGUCAUGUAGCUUACUCGCUUAUGCUAUUUUACCUACGCUUAGGAUGUUGAA